rnacentral:rRNA from 1 species
AGAGUUUGAUCCUGGCUCAGAUUGAACGCUGGCGGCAUGCCUUACACAUGCAAGUCGAACGGUAACGCGGGGCAACCUGGCGACGAGUGGCGAACGGGUGAGUAAUGCAUCGGAACGUGCCCAGUAGUGGGGGAUAGCCCGGCGAAAGCCGGAUUAAUACCGCAUACGACCUACGGGUGAAAGCGGGGGACCGUAAGGCCCCGCGCUAUUGGAGCGGCCGAUGUCAGAUUAGCUAGUUGGUGGGGUAAAAGCCUACCAAGGCGACGAUCUGUAGCUGGUCUGAGAGGACGACCAGCCACACUGGGACUGAGACACGGCCCAGACUCCUACGGGAGGCAGCAGUGGGGAAUUUUGGACAAUGGGGGCAACCCUGAUCCAGCCAUGCCGCGUGCGGGAAGAAGGCCUUCGGGUUGUAAACCGCUUUUGUCGGGGAAGAAACGGUCUGCGCUAAUACCGCGGGCUAAUGACGGUACCCGAAGAAUAAGCACCGGCUAACUACGUGCCAGCAGCCCGCGGUAAUACGUAGGGUGCAAGCGUUAAUCGGAAUUACUGGGCGUAAAGCGUGCGCAGGCGGCUUUGCAAGACAGAUGUGAAAUCCCCGGGCUUAACCUGGGAACUGCAUUUGUGACUGCAUGGCUGGAGUGCGGCAAAGGGGGGAUGGAAUUCCCCGUGUUAGCA